GACGAACGCUGGCGGCGUGCUUAACACAUGCAAGUAGGACGCAGUUGCGAACGGGUGAGUAACGCGUAGGUAACUACCUAUUAGAGGGGGAUAACUAUUGGAAACGAUAGCUAAUACCGCAUACUAGUUGAUGGACCUGCGUUGUAUUAGCUAGUAGGGAGGGUAAUGGCAUACCUAGGCAAAGAUACAUAGCCGACCGUAGAGGGUGAACGGACACACUGUGACUGAGAAACGGCCCAGACUCCUACGGGAGGCAGCAGGAGGGAAUCUUCGGCAAUGGGGGGAACCCUGACCGAGCAACGCCGCGUGAGUGAAGAAGGUUUUCGGAUCGUAAAGCUCUGUUGUUAAGGAAGCGGUACUUAACCAGAAAGGGACGGCUAACUACGUGCCAGCAGCCGCGGUAAUUC
rnacentral:rRNA from 1 species